AUUGAACGCUGGCGGCAUGCCUUACACAUGCAAGUCGAACGGCAGCACGGGAGCAAUCCUGGUGGCGAGUGGCGAACGGGUGAGUAAUGUAUCGGAACGUACCUUUCAGUGGGGGAUAACGUAGCGAAAGUUUACGCUAAUACCGCAUAUUCUGUGAGCAGGAAAGCAGGGGACCGUAAGGCCUCGCGCGAUUGGAGCGGCCGAUGUCGGAUUAGCUAGUUGGUGGGGUAAAGGCCUACCAAGGCGACGAUCCGUAGCGGGUCUGAGAGGAUGAUCCGCACACUGGGACUGAGACACGGCCCAGACUCCUACGGGAGGCAGCAGUGGGGAAUUUUGGACAAUGGGGGCAACCCUGAUCCAGCCAUGCCGCGUGAUAGAUGAAGGCCCUCUGGGUUGUAAAGUAUCUUUUAUCUGGGAAGAAACUCCGUCUAUUCUUAGAGGCCUGACGGUACCAGACGGGAAUAAGCACCGGCUAACUCCGUGCCAGCAG
rnacentral:rRNA from 1 species